AGAGUUUGAUCAUGGCUCAGGACGAACGCUGGCGGUGUGCUUAACACAUGCAAGUCGAACGGAAUCCAUGGUGUAGCAAUACACCGGAAGAUUUAGUGGCGAACGGGUGAGGAUCACGUGAGAAACCUGCCCCAGACUUUGGGAUAACAAUUGGAAACGAUUGCUAAUACCGGCCGACGUCGGAGAACCGCAUGGUUCACUGACGAAAGGAAAUCCGGUUUGGGAGGGUCUCGCGGCCUAUCAGCUUGUUGGUGGGGUAAUGGCCUACCAAGGCAACGACGGGUAGCUGGUCUGAGAGGAUGAUCAGCCACACUGGGACUGAGACACGGCCCAGACUCCUAGGAGGCAGCAGUGGGGAAUCUUGCGCAAUGGGCGAAAGCCUGACGCAGCAACGCCGCGUGCGGGAUGACGGCCUUCGUGGUUGUAAACCGCUUUCAGCAGGGACGAAAAUGACGGUACCUGCAGAAGAAGCCCCGGCUAACUACGUGCCAGCAGCCGCGGUAAUACGUAGGGGGCAAGCGUUGUCCGGAUUCAUAUUGGGCGUAAAGAGCUCGUAGGCGGUUUAGUAAGUCGGGUGUUAAAACUCUGGGCUCAACCCGGAGAGGCCAUCCGAUACUGCUGUGACUUGAGUUCAGGAGGGGAGCGGGGAAUUCCUAGUGUAGCGGUGAAAUGCGCAGAUAUUAGGAGGAACACCGGUGGCGAAGGCGCCGCUCUGGACUGAAACUGACGCUGAGGAGCGAAAGCAUGGGUAGCAAACAGGAUUAGAUACCCUGGUAGUCCAUGCCGUAAACGGUGGGCACUAGGUGUGGGUUCCAACUAACGGGAUCCGCGCCGUCGCUAACGCAUUAAGUGCCCCGCCUGGGGAGUACGGUCGCAAGACUAAAACUCAAAGGAAUUGACGG
rnacentral:rRNA from 1 species